UACAGAGGAGCCAAGCGUUGUCCGGAUUGACUGGGCGUAAAGCGCACGCAGGCGGUUUGGCGCGUGGGGUGUGAAAUCUGGCCGCUUAACGGCCAGGCGCCAUCCCAUACGGCUAGACUGGAGUGAUGCAGAGGUCGGUGGAAUUCCCGGUGUAGCGGUGGAAUGCGUAGAGAUCGGGAAGAACAUCAGUGGCGAAGGCGGCCUGCUGGGCUGUUGCUGACGCUGAGGCGCGACAGCGUGGGGAGCAAACAGG
rnacentral:rRNA from 1 species